CAUCAUGUUGAAACACCGGUUCCUAUAUGAUCACUGAGGUUAAGCAAUAUCGAGCAUGGUCAGUAUGUAGAUGGGUGAUUGCCUGGGAAUACCAGGUGCUGUAAG